rnacentral:rRNA from 1 species
UACGGAGGGGGCUAGCGUUGUUCGGAAUUACUGGGCGUAAAGCGCGCGUAGGCGGCUUUGUAAGUUAGAGGUGAAAGCCCGAAGCUCAACUUCGGAAUUGCCUUUAAGACUGCAUCGCUAGAAUCGUGGAGAGGUGAGUGGAAUUCCGAGUGUAGAGGUGAAAUUCGUAGAUAUUCGGAAGAACACCAGUGGCGAAGGCGACUCACUGGACACGUAUUGACGCUGAGGUGCGAAAGCGUGGGAGCAAACAGG